CGCCCUCAACGCACGCAAGCACAGGCACGGAGAGAGAGGGAACGGCAGCCGCUGCUGUGCGUCUGCGUGUAUUGGUGUUGGAAAAGUGUCCACGAGCGGCAGCAACAGCCAUGUUGCGCUCGCUCCGCGGUGCGGGCCACCGUCGCGGCGCUCGCUGCAUUCUUACCCGGCGGCGCACCGCAUCCAGCCAAGUGAUUCCGUCUCUCCCGCGCACUGCACAGCGUGCGAUGUCGACCUCGUCACGUUCGCUGACCGCGUCGGCGACGUCUUCCGCAUCUCGGCGCUCAAAGCGGCUGAGCUACGCCGACGCGGACGCGGUCUACGGCGAGAAGCCCACGACAGCACCGCCAUGGGGUCUGCGGCCAAGCCCCCAUGCCGGCUCGAUCAGCACCGCGAUGAGUGCCGCGCGCCAUGCAUCAUGGCGCAUCCGCGCGCAGCAGCGCUGGUUGACGUUGCUUCUCGCGCUCAUGCGGGCACCAUACAUCGGUGCGAUUACGAUGCGUGUGCUCGAGGCCUCCGCCUACGCCGCCUAUGUAACGGGCUCUGUUAUGGUAUUUACUCGUCGGCGUGCGGGGCCUCCGGUGGCGGUGGCAACGGAGCCGGACUCCUCUUGCGAGAACGUCGACUUGUGCGAGGCGGGCUGCACCGCCCAAACGCAGGUGUCGCAGGCACGAUGCAGCGCCCACCUGCCUAAGGCAGGCGACCUCUCAGCGUCGCCGCGUCCCUCGCCGGCCGGCCGCCCCUCCUCCUCGCUUCUCUUCUCUCACGACGCGCCGCUGCGUGAGCACGCCCUUGACUGCCUCUACAUCGGCGCCAGCUCGAUCCACAGCAGAGGGCUGUUCACGGCACGUGCGCUGCCGCGCGGCACCCGCAUCAUCGCCGAGUCGCGCCGCUCCCUCCUACUCGCACCGCACUUUGUCACCUUGCUAGCUGACACGCACGAUAAGCUGCCGGAUACGUGGCACUACACCCAACCCACCGGGUGCGUCGUGGAGUUGGUGACGCAGGCGCAGCCACAUCAUCUAAUGAACCACAGCUGCGCACCGAAUGUGUGCAGUGGACUCUCACACACCUUCUGGGAGGCCGCCACGAUAGCAGGUAAAUGGCAGGAGCAGCAGCAGCAGCAGCGCUCGCGGCGGAGCGGCUCCACGCACGGUGCUGCGAGUGGGCGCACGGAGGCCUCCCACGGUAACGUCAGGGAGGAAGGUAGUCGCAGUGACAUGAUAGCUUGGACCUCGUCGUCGUCGCCCUUGGCCGCCGAAGCGCACAGCGCGGGCUGUGGCGAGCGGUUGACGCGGUGGCCGCACUUCGCUGACGCAAACAGCUUCUUUCUGACUCGCGAUGUCGCGGCGGAAGAGGAGCUCACGCUGGACUACAGCACUCGCAUGGCCCCCCUCUACGCAGGGGACUCGGCACGCGCGCUACAGUCGCGCAGCUGGCUGCUCUGCCGCUGUGGGCAGCCGUGCUGCCGUCACUACGUGUACCGCCCAAAGCCGGAAGUCAGCGCCUUUUUGCGCGCGCUGCGCACGGCACCCUAUGGACACGAGCGCGGACCGCAGCCGCCAGGGCAGCACAACGUGCCGUUGAUGCCGGAUGGUGCAGCGCUGUCUUGCCCGACGGACACGCGCGACCCCGUGCAUAUCAUGGCAAAGUUGCUCGAGCUUGGCUUCGAUGAUGAACUUGUGCUCCUGAGCUACGCCGCCGGCAGUGCGGACGUGGUGGCGUACCUUUAUGGGCAGCCGCUGCCCUCACUACAGAAAUCCUCACGAACUCAAUCGCGGGCACCAUUCGCACGAAUGUGCCCGUCGUCAGCGAGCGCGCCGCCGGCGGUGCACGAGGGCAUUGACGUGGAGGUGCGCAGGAUGACCAAGCGCCAGCUGCUCUCGGAAUACCGCUAUGUCUUUCGACUCUUGAACGAAGCGGUGCCGGUGCGUACGUGAAUAGCCUCCCUAUGUGUGCGUGCUAUGUGUGUGUGUGUGUGUUCUUUUCAUGGGGGAAGAGGAGGGAGGGAGGGAGGACGACGGACUCGGCCGGAGUGGCGCAGCGUGCUUGUGCCAAGAGGGCCCUCCUCCUUGCCCGUAGGCCCGCCUUCUCUUCUCCUCCCACCCUCUCUCGCCGCCCUCACCCGCACUCAUGCGCAGCGCAGGAGGUCGCAUGUGCCGGUGUGUCGUAGGCCCGCAUCGUCGAAGCGCCUCCGAAAC
rnacentral:misc_RNA from 1 species